AUUGAACGCUGGCGGCAGGCUUAACACAUGCAAGUCGAGCGGGGUGAUGGUGCUUGCACUAUCACUUAGCGGCGGACGGGUGAGUAAUGCUUAGGAAUCUGCCUAUUAGUGGGGGACAACAUCUCGAAAGGGACGCUAAUACCGCACACGUCCUACGGGAGAAAGCAGGGGAUCACUUGUGACCUUGCGCUAAUAGAUGGGCCUAAGUCGGAUUAGCUAGUUGGUGGGGUAAAGGCCUACCAAGGCGACGAUCUGUAGCGGGUCUGAGAGGAUGAUCCGCCACACUGGGACUGAGACACGGCCCAGACUCCUACGGGAGGCAGCAGUGGGGAAUAUUGGACAAUGGGGGGAACCCUGAUCCAGCCAUGCCGCGUGUGUGAAGAAGGCCUUAUGGUUGUAAAGCACUUUAAGCGAGGAGGAGGCUCUUUUGGUUAAUACCCAAGAUGAGUGGACGUUACUCGCAGAAUAAGCACCGGCUAACUCUGUGCCAGCCGCCGCCGUAA
rnacentral:rRNA from 1 species